AUGAACGCUAGCGGCAGGCUUAACACAUGCAAGUCGAACGGCAGCACAGGUAGCAAUACUGGGUGGCGAGUGGCGCACGGGUGCGUAACGCGUAUGCAACCUACCUCUAUCUGGGAGAUAGCCCGAAGAAAUUCGGAUUAAUACCCCAUAAUAUAUGUCUUUCGCAUGUUAGACAUAUUAAAGCUUUGGCGGAUAGAGAUGGGCAUGCGUGACAUUAGCUAGUUGGUAAGGUAACGGCUUACCAAGGCUACGAUGUCUAGGGGGUCUGAGAGGAUUAUCCCCCACACUGGUACUGAGACACGGACCAGACUCCUACGGGAGGCAGCAGUGAGGAAUAUUGGACAAUGGGCGAAAGCCUGAUCCCAGCCAUGCCGCGUGCAGGAAGACGGCCCUAAGGGUUGUAAACUGCUUUUAUAUGGGAAUAAACCUCCGAACGUGUUCGGAGCUGAAGGUACCAUACGAAUAAGGAUCGGCUAACUCCGUG
rnacentral:rRNA from 1 species